AUUAGACAGCUUUUAACCUUGAAAUUUGAAUUAUUGAUACAAAAAACCAAAAUUCCCUUGAUAGUGUUAAGAAGACUUUGAAUGCUGCAACCAAAAGUGUUUUGCGAUUGUAAACAUCGGGUUCAAUAGCUGUAUUUCUGUGCCAGAAGGUUACUUUUCCACAACGUCGAAACCAACCGUAAGAAGAAAGCCGCGUUGUGGUUCUAAUGGAUACAUUUGCUUACGGAGCAGUCAUUGCUGCUCUGAAAUCUGCGUCAGGUUCGCAGGAAGUCACUCGCCAGGCAUCUGCAGAUCCAAAGGAUCUUUUUUUGAUGAAUAAUAUGUAGUUACUUGUAAAAUGAAUAAAAAUGAUGGAAAACUCCGUCGGAAUUGAAAUCA